CCAUCAGCUAAGGUCCCAAAGUGUAAGUUAAGUGGGAAAGGAUGUGGGAUUUCUAAGACAACUAGGAUGUUGGCUUAGAAGCAGCCACUCAUUUAAAGAGUGCGUAAUAGCUCACUAGUCGAGAGAUCCUGCGCCGAAGAUGUAACGGGGCUCAAACUUACCACCGAAGCUAUGGAUGUGUACUAUGUACACGUGGUAGAGGAGCUUUCUGUACAGGUUGAAGUCAUACCGUAAGGAGUGGUGGACAGUACAGAAGUGAGAAUGCUGGCAUAAGUAGCGAAAAACAAGUGAGAAUCUUGUUGACCGAAUAUCUAAGGUUUCCUGGGGAAGGCUCGUCCUCCCAGGGUUAGUCGGGACCUAAGCCGAGGCCGAACGGCGUAGGUGAUGGACAACUGGUUGAUAUUCCAGUACCACCAUACUGCGUUUGACAAAUGGGAUGACGCAGGAGGAUAGGAUGUGCGCACUAUUGGAUGUGCGUCUAAGCACUUAGGGUGUUAAGUAGGCAAAUCCGCUUAACAUUAAGCCUGAGG
rnacentral:rRNA from 1 species